rnacentral:rRNA from 1 species
UACGUAGGGGGAGAGCGUUGUCCGGAGUUACUGGGCGUAAAGCGCACGCAGGCGGUCUGCUAAGUUUGGAGUGACAGUUGGUGGCUCAACCACCAAAGUGCUUCGAAAACUGACAGACUUGAGGGCUUCAGAGGGACACGGAAUUCCGGGUGGAGUGGUGAAAUGCGUAGAGAUCCGGAGGAACACCGAAGGCGAAGGCAGUGUCCUGGGGAGUACCUGACGCUCAGGUGCGAAAGCUAGGGGAGCGAACGGG